rnacentral:rRNA from 1 species
AUUGAACGCUGGCGGCAGGCCUAACACAUGCAAGUCGAGCGGCAGCGGGAAAGUAGCUUGCUACUUUUGCCGGCGAGCGGCGGACGGGUGAGUAAUGCCUGGGGAUCUGCCCAGUCGCGGGGGAUAACUACUGGAAACGGUAGCUAAUACCGCAUACGCCCUACGGGGGAAAGCAGGGGACCUUCGGGCCUUGCGCGAUUGGAUGAACCCAGGUGGGAUUAGCUAGUUGGUGAGGUAAUGGCUCACCAAGGCGACGAUCCCUAGCUGGUCUGAGAGGAUGAUCAGCCACACUGGAACUGAGACACGGUCCAGACUCCUACGGGAGGCAGCAGUGGGGAAUAUUGCACAAUGGGGGAAACCCUGAUGCAGCCAUGCCGCGUGUGUGAAGAAGGCCUUCGGGUUGUAAAGCACUUUCAGCGAGGAGGAAAAGUUGGUAGCUAAUAACUGCCAGCUGUGACGUUACUCGCAGAAGAAGCACCGGCUAACUCCGUGCCAGCAGCCGCAGUAA